rnacentral:snoRNA from 1 species
AAUCCAUGCAUCAGACAUUUUCGAAUUAAUUCUUUAAAUCGUUCCCAAGCUUCAUAUAGUAUUUCAUCCUCCAAUUAUCAAAAAGACGUGAUGUCAUUUCUCAGCUU